UUUAAUAUUGGCGAUUCUUCUUGCACACCGUCAAUCGCCAAAAUAAAACUCUGCCAAAUUAAAGCGUUAUAUGGCAGUACAGUAGUUUCAAAAGGGUAAAAUAUACACUAAUGGAAGCAAUACAUUUGGUAUUGCACUUUACGUCAAUGUGCACCUUACAUCAGUUGAAGAUACUGGAAUAGAGUCGGACAUUAAUGAUGAUUAUAAUUCAGCUGAUCCAUCUUUCUUUCCAUUUGGUACUAAUGUCAUGAAUGCUCCUACUAUGAUGCUUAAUAGCAACAUACCAGGGACAUAUAUAUUUUCUCUGAAUCAUGUAUCACCAGUUCCUUGCAUUGAACCUAGCCCACCUGACUGCUUUGCUAUAUGUAAAGCUAAACUUCUCAAAAUGACAUGUGAAGUUAUGAAGAUUAAUGGGAAGGUUCUACCAGCUCCUUGUAAUAACUGAGCACAUUCAUUUUUAUUCUGCUUUGUUUUGUGAUUAAAUUGUUUUUAAGUAGUGAAUGAGUUAAUUUUAUACUUAAACAGUA